rnacentral:lncRNA from 1 species
GAAAAGUGCAGUCAGGAUGCCACUCUGAAAAGACGACAAUGAGAAAACAUGUGCAGUUGGUGAGGAAGGGAGCCUUGAAGGUGACUGCAAGGUGGCGUGUGGAAGAAGGAGCCGAGAUUGCACUGUGGUUGAACUAACAAGAGGGAGAGCCGUGGGAGAGGACAGGGCAGUCAGGGGCCGGAUGGCAUAGGCUCUGUGGUCGUUCUUCGGCUUUUACUCAGAGAAAACCUUGAUCUUGGAUGAAGUGAACCAUCUGCCUUCUUUGUGUCUGUAUGAGGACUACCAAGCUGCUGGAGGAAAAUUGCACACUUCAACAGUCUCUGUAAACUCACCAUCACCAACUUCACAUGGAUUUCAACCUACCUGGCAAUCCUGCAGCCUGGCUUCUGCUACCACUCCACUGAAGCUGGUCUUACCAACAUCAUCACUGACCUUGAUAAUGACAGCAUUGUUAUCAUAAUAGCCACUUGGUCUCCUUAUUGCCUUCCAACAACAUUUAAAACAGCCGACAGCUUUUUUUACAUUCUGUCCUUGGCUUUCAUAACAUAUGGAGUAAUUGCGUCCUUGAGACUUUGCCCAAUGCCCGCUUUUCACUCUGCG